UACGUAGGGGGCUAGCGUUGUCCGGAUUUAUUGGGCGUAAAGAGCGUGUAGGCGGCCAUGUAGGUCCGGUGUGAAAACUCGAGGCUUAACCUCGAGAUGUCAUCGGAAACCAUUUGGCUAGAGUCCGGAAGAGGAGAGUGGAAUUCCUGGUGUAGCGGUGAAAUGCGCAGAUAUCAGGAAGAACACCAAUGGCGAAAGCAGCUCUCUGGGCACUUACUGACGCUGAGGAGCGAAAGCGUGGGGAGCGAACAGG
rnacentral:rRNA from 1 species